UACAGAGGUCUCAAGCGUUGUUCGGAUUUAUUGGGCGUAAAGGGUGCGUAGGCGGCGCGGUAAGUCGGGCGCGAAAUCUUGGAGCUUAACUCCGAAACUGCAUUCGAUACUGCCGCGCUUGAGGACUGGAGAGGAGACUGGAAUUUACGGUGUAGCGGUGAAAUGCGUAGAUAUCGUAAGGAAGACCAGUGGCGAAGGCGGGGCUCUGGACAGUUCCUGACGCUGAGGCACGAAGGCCAGGGGAGCAAACGGG
rnacentral:rRNA from 1 species